AUUGAACGCUGGCGGCAGGCCUAACACAUGCAAGUCGAGCGGAUGAAGGGAGCUUGCUCCUGGAUUCAGCGGCGGACGGGUGAGUAAUGCCUAGGAAUCUGCCUGGUAGUGGGGGAUAACGUCCGGAAACGGGCGCUAAUACCGCAUACGUCCUGAGGGAGAAAGUGGGGGAUCUUCGGACCUCACGCUAUCAGAUGAGCCUAGGUCGGAUUAGCUAGUUGGUGGGGCAAAGGCCUACCAAGGCGACGAUCCGUAACUGGUCUGAGAGGAUGAUCAGUCACACUGGAACUGAAACACGGUCCAGACUCAUACGGGAGGCAGCAGUGGGGAAUAUUGGACAAUGGGCGAAAGCCUGAUCCAGCCAUGCCGCGUGUGUGAAGAAGGUCUUCGGAUUGUAAAGCACUUUAAGUUGGGAGGAAGGGCAGUAAGUUAAUACCUUGCUGUUUUGACGUUACCAACAGAAUAAGCACCGGCUAACUUCGUG
rnacentral:rRNA from 1 species